GACGAACGCUGGCGGCGUGCCUAAUACAUGCAAGUAGAACGCUGAAGAGAGGAGCUUCCUCUUCUUGGAUGAGUUGCGAACGGGUGAGUAACGCGUAGGUAACCUGCCUUGUAGCGGGGGAUAACUAUUGGAAACGAUAGCUAAUACCGCAUAACAAUGGAUGGCACAUGUCAUUUAUUUGAAAGGGGCAAUUGCUCCACUACAAGAUGGACCUGCGUUGUAUUAGCUAGUAGGUGAGGUAAUGGCUCACCUAGGCGACGAUACAUAGCCGACCUGAGAGGGUGAUCGGCCACACUGGGACUGAGACACGGCCCAGACUCCUACGGGAGGCAGCAGUAGGGAAUCUUCGGCAAUGGGGGCAACCCUGACCGAGCAACGCCGCGUGAGUGAAGAAGGUUUUCGGAUCGUAAAGCUCUGUUGUAAGUCAAGAACGGGUGUGAGAGUGGAAAGUUCACACUGUGACGGUAGCUUACCAGAAAGGGACGGCUAACUACGUG
rnacentral:rRNA from 1 species